UCUUCGUAGGUGAACCUGCGGAGGGAUCAUUAGUGAAUCAAACGGGUUCGACUCUGCAAAGAGAAGGCCCGAUCCACUAUCUUCACACACUUGUGCACCUGUCAUUUUUUGACAACACACUUUUGAAGUUUAAACCGUCCUUGAAUGAAAUUGAUAACGAAAGAAAAACUUUCAGCAAUGGAUCUCUUGGCUCUCGCAUCGAUGAAGAACGCAGC
rnacentral:misc_RNA from 1 species